rnacentral:rRNA from 1 species
AACGAACGCUGGCGGCAUGCCUAACACAUGCAAGUCGAACGAGACCUUCGGGUCUAGUGGCGCACGGGUGCGUAACGCGUGGGAACCUGCCCUUAGGUUCGGAAUAACUCCCCGAAAGGGGUGCUAAUACCGGAUAAUGUCUUCGGACCAAAGAUUUAUCGCCUUUGGAUGGGCCCGCGUUGGAUUAGCUAGUUGGUAGGGUAAAAGCCUACCAAGGCGACGAUCCAUAGCUGGUCUGAGAGGAUGAUCAGCCACACUGGGACUGAGACACGGCCCAGACUCCUACGGGAGGCAGCAGUGGGGAAUAUUGGACAAUGGGCGAAAGCCUGAUCCAGCAGUGCCGCGUGAGUGAGGAAGGCCUUAGGGUUGUAAAGCUCUUUUACCCGGGAUGAUAAUGACAGUACCGGGAGAAUAAGCACCGGCUAACUCCGUG